rnacentral:rRNA from 1 species
CCUACGGGUGGCAGCAGUGAGGAAUAUUGGUCAAUGGACGCAAGUCUGAACCAGCCAUGCCGCGUGCAGGAAGAAGGCACAAAGAGUUGUAAACCUCUUUUGUACGAGGACAAACGCAGAGACGCGUCCCUGGCUGAAAGUAUCGGACGAAUAAGGAUCGGCUAACUCCGUGCCAGCAGCCGCGGUAAUACGGGGGAUUCAAGCGUUAUCCGGAUUUAUUGGGUUUAAAGGGUGCGGAGGCGGUCGGAUAAGUUAGCGGUGAAAUCCCGAGGCUCAACUGCGGAAUGGCCUCUGAUACUGUUCGUCUAGAGUGUGAGUGAGGUAUGCGGAAUGUAUGGGGUAGCGGUGAAAUGCUUAGAGAUCAUACAGAACUCCGAUUGCGAAGGCAGCUUGCCAG